GUCUACGGCCAUACCACCCUGAACUCGCCCAAUCUCGUCUGAUCUCGGAGGAAUAAGGUGCCCAGCGUGGGGCAGACACUUGUAAUACCAACAUUCAGAAGCACGAAGCAGUAGGUU
ensembl:rRNA n-R5s175 nuclear encoded rRNA 5S 175